rnacentral:rRNA from 1 species
CCCCGUACACAAAAGCGCAUGUGCUGUGAGCUCGAUGAGUAGGGCGGGACACGUGGUAUCCUGUCUGAAUAUGGGGGGACCAUCCUCCAAGGCUAAAUACUCCUGACUGACCGAUAGUGAACCAGUACCGUGAGGGAAAGGCGAAAAGAACCCCGGCGAGGGGAGUGAAAAAGAACCUGAAACCGUGUACGUACAAGCAGUGGGAGCCCCACCACCAAAGCAUUCUCUGGUGUUGAAGGCCCUGCAAAGCAGCAUCGCGGUGGCGGAGCGUCGUUUGCGACGCCCAACACACAAAACAAGCGGUGAGUGCUUUGGGGUGGGGUGACUGCGUACCUUUUGUAUAAUGGGUCAGCGACUUAUAUUCUGUAGCAAGGUUAACCGAAUAGGGGAGCCGGAGGGAAACCGAGUCUUAAUUGGGCGUUAAGUUGCAGGGUAUAGACCCGAAACCCGGUGAUCUAGCCAUGGGCAGGUUGAAGGUUGGGUAACACUAACUGGAGGACCGAACCGACUAAUGUUGAAAAAUUAGCGGAUGACCUGUGGCUGGGGGUGAAAGGCCAAUCAAACCGGGAGAUAGCUGGUUCUCCCCGAAAGCUAUUUAGGUAGCGCCUCGUGAAUUCAUCUCCGGGGGUAGAGCACUGUUUCGGCUAGGGGGCCAUCCCGGCUUACCAACCCGAUGCAAACUGCGAAUACCGGAGAAUGUUAUCACGGGAGACACACGGCGGGUGCUAACGUCCGUCGUGAAGAGGGAAACAACCCAGACCGCCAGCUAAGGUCCCAAAGUCAUGGUUAAGUGGGAAACGAUGUGGGAAGGCCCAGACAGCCAGGAUGUUGGCUUAGAAGCAGCCAUCAUUUAAAGAAAGCGUAAUAGCUCACUGGUCGAGUCGGCCUGCGCGGAAGAUGUAACGGGGCUAAACCAU